AUGACAUUACCACUACAGUUGCUACAUCUACAACUACUGCAACUAUCGCUACUACACCAACUACUACUACUAAUACUACUACUGACGAAGUUAAUGUUAAUAGUACUAGUAGUAAUAAAAAAAAAAAAAAAAAAAAACGUAACACCAGAAACAUAUUUAACCCAAUAUAACGAAAAUUGUACUAUUAAUAAUAAUAAUAAUAUCAGCUAUAAUAAUAAUUAUAGUAACAAUAAUGAUGUUAAUUACAUUCACAAUAAAUGCUUAAGUGUAGAAAAGAAAUAUGAAGAUAUGCUAUCGGAAUAUAAAUCUUUUUUAUUAUGCUCUUCCUUAUCACAAAGCAGUAGCAUGAAUAGCUGUAGUAGCAACACAACUAUGUCAAAUAACACAACUUCUAACGACUGUAAUAAAAAGAAUCUACAAAAAUUGAAAAAUAAAAGUUUUUAUCAGACAUUUGAGGAAUUAAAAAAAGCAAAUAAUUUAUAUUUCUAUUUCUAUGUUACAAUUUCUGUACAUGGUUAUAAUGAAAAAAAAUAUUAUUUCAAAACGGAAAUAGCAAAAGUUAAUUUUUACGAUUGUAAUUACUGUUGGUCUAAACCAUCUAAUUUCAAGAUGAAAAUAAUGAAUCCGUCAUUGACUCUUAUCGUAUUUGAAUUAAAAUCAUAUGACACGGUAAAAAGUGAUAUUAUCGCCUGCGCUUGUUUCCCGAUAAAAUGCCUAAGAGAAGGUAUUAGAUUUGUUCCUUUAUGUGAUAAAUAUUUGAAGGAAAUAAAGGGAUCCGGAAUUUUAGUUAAUUUAAAAAUUGAUUCCAUUAAUAGUUGAGGAUUGUGACGAAAAAAAAAAAAAAUAAUAAUAAAACAAAAAUAGCCUACA
ensembl:lncRNA